rfam:Actinomyces johnsonii F0510 genomic scaffold Scaffold300, whole genome shotgun sequence.
ACUGCCGCCGGACGGAACCGGUCGCGAGGGUUGGGGAGCCCGAUGACCGAUCGGAUUUCGAGGCCGCUUCGGGUUGAUAGGGAGCCCGACGCGAGUCGUUCUGGCGAAGGAG